rnacentral:rRNA from 1 species
UACGAAGGGGGCUAGCGUUGCUCGGAAUCACUGGGCGUAAAGGGUGCGUAGGCGGGUCUUUAAGUCAGGGGUGAAAUCCUGGAGCUCAACUCCAGAACUGCCUUUGAUACUGAAGAUCUUGAGUUCGGGAGAGGUGAGUGGAACUGCGAGUGUAGAGGUGAAAUUCGUAGAUAUUCGCAAGAACACCAGUGGCGAAGGCGGCUCACUGGCCCGAUACUGACGCUGAGGAGA